UGAUACCAGGGUCAAAAGGUCGUGCGUUUCAUGCUUGCAUGAAAAAGCAUGACUUUGGGACCCGCAAAACAUGAGAAAGUAGCCCGAGCAGGGCGGAUUUCGAAUGUUUUUAGGAUUGCGGGAGCACAAAGUGCGAAGCAAUCCGUAGGUAUCA
rnacentral:sRNA from 1 species